GAUGAACGCUGGCGGCGCGCCUAAUACAUGCAAGUCGAGCGAACAGACGAGGAGCUUGCUCCUCUGACGUUAGCGGCGGACGGGUGAGUAACACGUGGAUAACCUACCUAUAAGACUGGGAUAACUUCGGGAAACCGGAGCUAAUACCGGAUAAUAUAUUGAACCGCAUGGUUCAAUAGUGAAAGACGGUUUUGCUGUCACUUAUAGAUGGAUCCGCGCCGCAUUAGCUAGUUGGUAAGGUAACGGCUUACCAAGGCAACGAUGCGUAGCCGACCUGAGAGGGGGAUCGGCCACGCGGGAGCUGAGACACGGUCCAGAAUCCUACGGGAGGCAGCAGUAGGGAAUCUGCCGCAAUGGGCGAAAGCUUGACGGAGCAACGCCGCGUGAGUGAUGAAGGUCUUCGGAUCGUAAAACGCUGUUAUUAGGGAAGAACAAAUGUGUAAGUAACUAUGCACGUCUUGACGGAACCUAAUCAGAAAGCCACGGCAAACUACGU
rnacentral:rRNA from 1 species